CAGCAGUAGGGAAUCUUCCACAAUGGGCGAAAGCCUGAUGGAGCAACGCCGCGUGCAGGAUGAAUGCCUUCGGGUUGUAAACUGCUUUUAUAUGUGAAGAUUAUGACGGUAGCAUAUGAAUAAGGAUCGGCUAACUCCGUGCCAGCAGCCGCGGUCAUACGGAGGAUCCAAGCGUUAUCCGGAAUUACUGGGCGUAAAGAGUUGCGUAGGUGGCAUAGUAAGCGGACAGUGAAAUGGUACGGCUCAACCGUACAGCCAUUGUUUGAACUGCUAAGCUUGAGGACGAGAGAGGUACCUGGAAUUCCCAGUGUAGGAGUGAAAUCCGUAGAUAUUGGGAGGAACACCGAUGGCGUAGGCAGGGUACUGGCUUGUUCCUGACACUAAGGCACGAAAGCGCGAGGAGUGACCCGGAUUAGAUACCCGGUUAAUUCGCGCCGUAAACGAUGGAUGCUAGCCGUUAUCGGUAUCGACCCCGGUAGUAGCAAAGCUAACGCGUUAAGCAUCCCGCCUGUGGAGUACG
rnacentral:rRNA from 1 species